GACGAACGCUGGCGGCGUGCUUAACACAUGCAAGUCGAGCGGAAAGGCCCUUCGGGGUACUCGAGCGGCGAACGGGUGAGUAACACGUGAGUAAUCUGCCCUUCACUCUGGGAUAGCCACCGGAAACGGUGAUUAAUACCGGAUACGACCAAUCCCUGCAUGGGGUGUUGGUGGAAACUUUUUUGGGUGGGGGAUGUGCUCGCGGCCUAUCAGCUUGUUGGUGGGGUAAUGGCCUACCAAGGCUUCGACGGGUAGCCGGCCUGAGAGGGUGACCGGCCAAACUGGGACUGAGACACGGCCCAGACUCCUACGGGAGGCAGCAGUGGGGAAUAUUGGACAAUGGGCGGAAGCCUGAUCCAGCAACGCCGCGUGAGGGAUGACGGCCUUCGGGUUGUAAACCUCUUUCAGCACCGACGAAGCGCAAGUGACGGUAGGUGCAGAGGAAGGACCGGCCAACUACGUGCCAGCCGCCGCGGUAAAAC
rnacentral:rRNA from 1 species